GACGAACGCUGGCGGCGUGCUUAACACAUGCAAGUCGAACGGUGAAGCGCCUUCCUUUUUGGUGGGUGUGGAUGAGUGGCGAACGGGUGAGUAACACGUGAGUAACCUGCCCCCUUCUUCUGGAUAACCGCAUGAAAGUGUGGCUAAUACGGGAUAUUCUGGUUCUGUCGCAUGAUGGGUCUGGGAAAGAUAUUGUUUCGGUGGGGGAUGGGCUCGCGGCCUAUCAGCUUGUUGGUGGGGUGAUGGCCUACCAAGGCGGUGACGGGUAGCCGGCCUGAGAGGGUGGCCGGUCACACUGGGGCUGAGACACGGGCCAGACUCCUACGGGAGGCAGCAGUGGAGAAUAUUGUACAAUGGGAGCAAGCCUGAUGCAGCGACGCCGCGGGAGGGAUGGAGGCCGUCGGGUUGUGAACCUCUUUCGCCAGUGAAGCAGGCCUGCCUCGUUUGUGGGUGGGUUGACGGUAGCUGGAUAAGAAGCGCCGGCUAACUACGUG
rnacentral:rRNA from 1 species